rnacentral:lncRNA from 1 species
AACUCUAUCUGAUCGGGUUGAUGGACUUUAGAUUGAGAUGAGAGCUAUUUCUAGUAGACUAUUCUCCUUGGAGCAGAAGUAGUUUUGGCCAAUUACACCUAGUGACUCAUCAGUUGUGGCUAGAGAGAUUGCUAGUCUAAGAGAGAGCUUUGAGUCCAGAGCUUCAGAGAUAUCCGGCAUUAGAGGACUCGAUAGAGCUCAGCAGGAGGGG